UGUGAUGAUAUAAAUAGCAAUGGGUUAAUUCUUUUAAAUCAUAAGUCUUCAAUACUUUCAUUUCUCAGAUUCUCAACAUCAAGGGCCUGCCAUGCAUAAAAUAUUAUUAAUCCUACUCUUCAUUCAUAUCAUAGUUAUAGAUGCAGUUGUUCCAAUUUGUCCAAUACUUUGCCCAGAAAUUAAAUGUGACCCAGGUUACGUACUCAGAAGAAUUGGUUGCUGCGAUCAAUGUGUGAAAGAUUCUCAACCUCAAGAGCCAGUCAUGAAUAAAGUAUUAUUAAUCCUGCUCUUCAUUCAUAUAAUAGCUUUAGAUGCAGUUCUUUCAACUUGUGCAAUAAUUUGUCCAGAAAUUGAAUGUGAGCCAGGUUACGUACCUAAGAGAGCUGGUUGCUGCUAUCAAUGUGUGAAAGAGCCAGAUGAUUGUCGAACUGAUUGUUCAGGAUCAUACAGCUGUCCAGCGAUACCAGCGGAAUGUCCAGAUGGUGAAGAAUUGGUAACACCAAUAUGUAGAUGCUGUCCAGAGUGCCAGAAAAUAUAGGUGCAUCAUACUCAUGGCAGUUAUACUGAAACAUUCUUGUAAAUGAAGUAAAAAUCAAUAAAGUAUUAAUAUCCUUGCUUUCGAAA